rnacentral:rRNA from 1 species
GGCUUUUUGAUUUUAAUUUAAAGUCUGACCUGCCCAAUGAAAAAUUUAAUGGCUGCAGUAUUUUGACUGUACAAAGGUAGCAUAAUCAUUAGUUUUUUAAUUGAAAACUUGUAUGAAUGGUUUGAUGAGAAAAUAGCUGUCUUAAUUUUAAUUGUUAAAGAAAUUUAUUUUUAAGUUAAAAAGCUUAAAUUUUUUUAAAAGACGAGAAGACCCUAUAGAGUUUAAUAUUUUAUUUUUAUAUAUUAUUUAAGAAUUUAGAAUUUAUAUAAUAAAUUAAUUUAUUUAAUUGGGGUGAUUUAAAAAUUUAAUUAACUUUUUUAUAUUAGCUCAUUGAUUUAUGAGUAUUUGAUCCAUUAUUAAUGAUUAAAAGAAUAAAUUACCUUAGGGAUAACAGCGUAAUUUUUUUGGAGAGUUCUUAUCGAUAAAAAAGAUUGCGACCUCGAUGUUGGAUUAAAAUUUAAUGUUGGCGCAGAAGUUGACAGUUUAGGUCUGUUCGACCUUUAAAAUUUU